rnacentral:rRNA from 1 species
ACGGGAGGCAGCAGUGGGGAAUAUUGCACAAUGGGGGAAACCCUGAUGCAGCGACGCCGCGUGAGUGAAGAAGUAUUUCGGUAUGUAAGGCUCUAUCAGCAAGGAAGAAAAUGACGGUACUUGACUAAGAAGCCCCGGCUAACUACGUGCCAGCAGCCGCGGUAAUACGUAGGGGGCAAGCGUUAUCCGGAUUUACUGGGUGUAAAGGGAGCGUAGACGGUGAGGCAAGUCUGAAGUGAAAUGCAUGGGCUCAACCCAUGAACUGCUUUGGAAACUGUCUGACUAGAGUGCAGGAGAGGUAAGUGGAAUUCCUAGUGUAGCGGUGAAAUGCGUAGAUAUUAGGAGGAACACCAGUGGCGAAGGCGGCUUACUGGACUGUAACUGACGUUGAGGCUCGAAAGCGUGGGGAGCAAACAGGAUUAGAUACCCUGGUA